UUAAUCCCAAAUUUUAUAAAAUUUUACAAAAUGGUCCAAGAAAGAAUAAUUUUUCUGUAUUUUAUUUUGUAUUAUAAUUAAAUCAUAGAAUGCCAUUUUUAUAUUUGGAAAUACCCUAACACUUGGCUUUUAUUUAUGUACCUCCUAGUUUCUAAAUUAAUUCAUCAAUUUUAUUUUUAGCCUAAUUGAAUAUUUAUUAGUUCUUUGAAUUUUUAUUAUUUUCUUUGAACCUUUAUUAUUUAAUUGAGAAAAUAAAUAUCUUUAAAUAAAUAUCUACACAUAUCUUUAAAUAAAUAGUUUUAUUAUUUAUUUUAAUACUUAUUUGAGCAAUGGAAAAAUAUCUAGAUUUUUAUGCUUUUUCUUAGUCAUUAAGCUAGCCCUAUUUCAUGGCUUAUAAAUUGAGAACUUUGUCUCAAUUUUCACCCCACAUUUUCAACAGCCUAGGGAGAGGGUGAGAGGGUGAAAGUGUGAUCAAAGGAAGUAGAGAAGAACAAGAAAAAAAAAAGAAAAGAAAGGGUGACUCUCAAAAAGGUGGUGAAGCAGUUAUAAUGGUGAAAGUUAUUGCGAAGGCAAAUACGAUGAAGUGUUGGAGCGGUGGUUCAUCUGAAGACUUAGACUAGUUGUUUUUGUUUUCAAUGUUUUGUAAUCCUGCAAUGGAAAAUAAACGAAUGAUCUGUGAUACUAACUCUGGUUAUAUAUGUAUGUUAAGAUGUUUUGGUUAUC